rnacentral:rRNA from 1 species
GAUUUCUGGUGUGAUCAUUUUAGCCUGUUAGCGGUUACGUUAAUAUGUGUUAAGAUUCGAUCUACCAUCGUUUCAAUUGUGAUCAUUGUUAUUUAUUUAACAAUGGUUAUUAAGCAAUUGAAUCUUUUACUUUGAAAAAAUUAGAGUGUUUAAAGCAAGCAUUUGCUAUGAAUACAUUAGCAUGGAAUAAUAAUCUAGGACUUCGGUUCUAUUUUGUUGGUUUCUAUAACUGAAGUAAUGAUUGAUAGGGAUAGUUGGGGGUGCUAGUAUUGGCCGGCCAGAGGUGAAAUUCUUGGAUUCGGUCAAGACUAACUUAUGCGAAAGCAUU